AACGAACGCUGGCGGCAGGCUUAACACAUGCAAGUCGAGCGCCCCGCAAGGGGAGCGGCAGACGGGUGAGUAACACGUGGGAACAUACCCUUUACUACGGAACAACUCCGGGAAACUGGAGCUAAUACCGUAUGUGCCCUUGGGGGGAAAGAUUUAUCGGUAAAGGAUUGGCCCGCGUUGGAUUAGCUAGUUGGUGGGGUAAAGGCCUACCAAGGCGACGAUCCAUAGCUGGUCUGAGAGGAUGAUCAGCCACAUUGGGACUGAGACACGGCCCAAACUCCUACGGGAGGCAGCAGUGGGGAAUAUUGGACAAUGGGCGCAAGCCUGAUCCAGCCAUGCCGCGUGAGUGAUGAAGGCCUUAGGGUUGUAAAGCUCUUUCACCGAUGAAGAUAAUGACGGUAGUCGGAGAAGAAGCCCCGGCUAACUUCGUGCCAGCCGCCGCAGUAA
rnacentral:rRNA from 1 species